rnacentral:rRNA from 1 species
GUUAAGUCAGGCAACGAGCGAGACCCACGCCAACAGUUGCCAGCUCGUCCUCCGGGAUGGUGGGGACACUGUUGGGACCGCCUCUGCUAAAGAGAGGAAGGAAUGGGCACGGUAGGUCAGCAUGCCCCGAAUUAUCUGGGCUACACGCGGGCUACAAUGGGUGGGACAAUGGGUAUCGACACCGAAAGGUGAAGGCAAUCUCCUAAACCCAUCCGUAGUUCGGAUUGUGGGCUGCAACUCGCCCACAUGAAGCUGGAAUCUGUAGUAAUCGUGUCUCAAAAUGGCACGGUGAAUAUGUCCCUGCUCCUU